rnacentral:rRNA from 1 species
CCUGGCUCACGAUGAACGCUAGCUACAGGCUUAACACAUGCAAGUCGAGGGGCAGCAUGGUCUUAGCUUGCUAAGGCCGAUGGCGACCGGCGCACGGGUGAGUAACACGUAUCCAACCUGCCGUCUACUCUUGGACAGCCUUCUGAAAGGAAGAUUAAUACAAGAUGGCAUCAUGAGUCCGCAUGUUCACAUGAUUAAAGGUAUUCCGGUAGACGAUGGGGAUGCGUUCCAUUAGAUAGUAGGCGGGGUAACGGCCCACCUAGUCUUCGAUGGAUAGGGGUUCUGAGAGGAAGGUCCCCCACAUUGGAACUGAGACACGGUCCAAACUCCUACGGGAGGCAGCAGUGAGGAAUAUUGGUCAAUGGGCGAGAGCCUGAACCAGCCAAGUAGCAUGAAGGAUGACUGCCCUAUGGGUUGUAAACUUCUUUUAUAAAGGAAUAAAGUCGGGUAUGGAUACCCGUUUGCAUGUACUUUAUGAAUAAGGAUCGGCUAACUCCGUGCCAGCAGCCGCGGUAAUACGGAGGAUCCGAGCGUUAUCCGGAUUUAUUGGGUUUAAAGGGAGCGUAGAUGGAUGUUUAAGUCAGUUGUGAAAGUUUGCGGCUCAACCGUAAAAUUGCAGUUGAUACUGGAUAUCUUGAGUGCAGUUGAGGCAGGCGGAAUUCGUGGUGUAGCGGUGAAAUGCUUAGAUAUCACGAAGAACUCCGAUUGCGAAGGCAGCCUGCUAAGCUGCAACUGACAUUGAGGCUCGAAAGUGUGGGUAUCAAACAGGAUUAGAUACCCUGGUAGUCCACACGGUAAACGAUGAAUACUCGCUGUUUGCGAUAUACAGCAAGCGGCCAAGCGAAAGCGUUAAGUAUUCCACCUGGGGAGUACGCCGGCAACGGUGAAACUCAAAGGAAUUGACGGGGGCCCGCACAAGCGGAGGAACAUGUGGUUUAAUUCGAUGAUACGCGAGGAACCUUACCCGGGCUUAAAUUGCAGAUGAAUUACGGUGAAAGCCGUAAGCCGCAAGGCAUCUGUGAAGGUGCUGCAUGGUUGUCGUCAGCUCGUGCCGUGAGGUGUCGGCUUAAGUGCCAUAACGAGCGCAACCCUUGUUGUCAGUUACUAACAGGUUCCGCUGAGGACUCUGACAAGACUGCCAUCGUAAGAUGUGAGGAAGGUGGGGAUGACGUCAAAUCAGCACGGCCCUUACGUCCGGGGCUACACACGUGUUACAAUGGGGGGUACAGAGGGCCGCUACCACGCGAGUGGAUGCCAAUCCCAAAAACCUCUCUCAGUUCGGACUGGAGUCUGCAACCCGACUCCACGAAGCUGGAUUCGCUAGUAAUCGCGCAUCAGCCACGGCGCGGUGAAUACGUUCCCGGGCCUUGUACACACCGCCC